UGUGUACUCCCUCCAUUCCAAAAUACUUGACUUCCAUUUGUCCAAAAAUGGAUGUACCUAUAUACUAAAACAUGUCUAGAUACAUCUAUAUUUUGACAAAUAGAAGGCAUGUAUUGUGGAACGGAGGGAGUAGAAU
rfam:Triticum aestivum genome assembly, contig: Triticum_aestivum_CS42_TGACv1_scaffold_404821_5BL